CAGCCAGAGAGCCAUGGAAGCUGAACUGGAACUCAGAAUUCCAGACUCCCAGCCCCUCACCAUGCUGCCUCCCUCGUGGCUCCAAUUCUCAGAAGAGGGUAGCAGAAGUGAGCUCCGGAAGAGCCAUCUGAGGCAGGGGGCAUCGGGGGACUCAGAGGGCCUCCAGCAUUCACUCUGGACCAGUGCUGUGCUACUCGCCUCACAUUGAGAUCUUGGUCAAUCCUCACAACAGCCCUCUCAUGUAUUAUUGUCUGUAUGUUAUGAAUGAGGAAGACCUCAAGGCACCAAGUCAGGUCCAUCUUCAAGAUACCCUCAUGGUCCAAGAUGGCUGUCAAGCUUCACCAUCACAUCUGACGACUGACUGGAGCAGGAGGAACUUCUUGCACAGGACUUGGCAUGUAGAUGUGCAAUGAACACGAAGGAGGAAGGCAUGGAGGGAGCUGACAAGCUGUGAAUGGCUGAAACUGGCUUCAUCCUUGCAACUGCAGACAUUUUUUCCUGCCUCCCAUAUGCUGUGCCCUGAUCUAGAUGUGUUUCCCGAGUUUCACUUUUCAGAUGCAUUUCCUAGACCCUAAAAUGUUAGGCCUGACCCAGGUAUGAAAGAGCAAGAAAGCUGCCUUGAAACAAACGAACAAAAAAUGCAGAAACCGAAGGCCAGAGAAGCAAUGUCAUAUGACAUGUCAUAUAUCUCUCACUCGGAUUCCUCUUCAUGGACACACAGAGAAAGAUCGGUUUCCCAGCCUCCCUUGCAGUCAAGUUUGGGGGUCAUGCGACUAGUUCUGGCCAAUAAAAUAUGAGCAGAAGAGAUGGGCAUCAUCACUUCCAGUUUGAGGCAGUGAAGGGCCAGUGUGACUUCGCCACCCCUCUUCUCUAAGAUGACCUUGGAGACCACUGGUCGAGAAAGGUGAUUCACAAACGGUUAUGUGCAUACACAUCACCUGGGGGUCUCAUUAAAAUGCAGAUCCUGAUUCUGGGUGGGGGGUCUGAAAUUCUUGACUUCAAACAAGCAACUGAAUUAUGCUGAUGCAUCAGGGCACACGUUUGAGUAGGGAAGGAUGAUUUGAGAAGAUGCAGCUUAAAGAUGGA